rnacentral:lncRNA from 7 species
AGUUUUGCUGCAGAGAGAGAACAGCUUGCACGCUCUCCACUUCUUCCAUAUGAAUUGUGCUGGAAAAUCAUGAAAUACUGGCAUGGAGGUACUAUCAUCUCCUUCACACGGGAUGGUUUCACACUGUACCAAAAAGAAGAAGGUGCUCAAAAGUCUGCUUGAAUUCUGUGGCCAGCGAUUCAGCUCUUGUGAACGUGGAACACUAUACUGAGUGCAGAGCUCGCCAUUGCAUUUUGCAAAACUGUCACUGGGUUCCAGCCAAGUCUGCAGAAUGCAACUCAGAAAUCCUUCUAAACCUCACCACCUUCUGCUCCAAGUGCAAGCUUCUUAGAACUGUCAUCAUUGUGCAAACUAAAAAGCAGCCAAGGCUAUCAACACCAUGGCAAUCCCUUCAUGUUAUUUAAAAAUGCAACAGAUAGACUAUGGAAGACAUUACUGGAGGGAAAGACAAAGCCAAGAAAACAUGUAUUACAUGUAACAAAUGUACCUCCCCAGUCAGAGCUUCUGGACAUCAGUCUGAAUAGGCUGAGUUUCUGCUGUCUCAGGAGAUUGCAUCAUUUGUGAACCACAGCUGAGAACAUUUCUGUACUACCUUCAGACUGUUUGACAAUUUAGAGAAUUUUAUCAACAUCUUUUAUAAACAGAUGCUGAGGUUUGCUGCAUUCAUAUAUAUGCUACAACUCUUGGUACUCAAGAAAACAUGAAGGGUACCAGGACUUUUCAUGACAUAACAUGUCUUUGCAUGAAGAAACUCUAAAUGAAAUUGCUGAGGAAAACUCACAGUGGAUAUAAAGCUCUGGUUAAAAUUGAAGGAAGUACCAAUCUCAUGAUACUAAAAUCUUCCUCUGAGCAACAUAUUUCCUAAAACAAGCUUUUCUCCUAUUGCUUGUGGUACAUUGUUAGAAGUCAGACUGUUUCUGCCACAGCUUCGCAAAUGGCCUUCUGACUCCUUGCUGACUUACACAGAUACUUGGAAUAUGAGGUUCCAUGAGCAAAACCCUUCCAAAGUUAUUCUGGUAGACUUCAGAAAACACACUGAAAAUCACUGACAGAAAUGAAAGCAGCCAAAAAUCUGCACAACUGAGCAUAAGACUUUAAAUAUUCAAGACCCAAUCACUGCUACUUUCUGUGCCCCAAAAGUAAUUCACUUGUCCAGGAUCCUUACCAGAAAGGAAGCAGGCACAAUGCAAUCCUAAAUGGAAAGAUGAACAAUGAUCUCCAGAAAUCAAUCCAGUGCCUCCCUGCUGAUCUUUACCAUCUUGAAAGAGUACAGAUGGAAACUCAUCAUUUAUACACAUUGGUUUCCCUUGUACUUCAAGAUCUUCACGAGUGACACUAGCCAGAACUCAGAGGGAACAACAUGUUCUCAUAAUAUGGAAGCUCAGCCCAGAACUAACUCAGAAUGUUUACUAAGGAUACACAAAGUUCCCUGCCACAAAAAUGCAAUCCAAAUAAUCUGUUCUGCCAGAAGCCAUGAAGUUCAACCACCAUGUGUAGGCAUCUCCACGGUCUGCACCUGAGUUAGUCAUCCAGUGCUCCUUUUUAGUCCACUGAAAGACAUAACUACUUUUAGGACACCAUCUCAUCCUGAAGUAGAUGUGUAGAACAGGUCAGACAAAUCUAAUCCUCAGGGUGCUUAUUUCUUUUUCCUGGUGGAUUGGGAAGCUGGUAGGGCCGAAACACAUACAGGUUUUCAGUAUAGAAAGCAUGAAAUUGGCCAAGAGGAAUCCUACGUUAUGUAAUACUCCAGAUGACUCACAUUAGCCACUGCCCUCAGUAGUUCUCUCAGUAGUCUGGCCUUUGCCUAUACUACAGUGGAGAUGAAGAGAAACUAGGUGCAACGUGAGUCUUCAGCAGUUCCUGAUAACACAAAACACAGAGUCAGAGAAUUGUAGGAUGGUUCGAGUUCGAAGGGACCUUAAAGCCAUCAAGUUCCAGCCUCCCUGCCAUGGACAUAGGCACUGUCUACUAAGAAAGUAUAAACUGUAACAUCUACUGACUGGAAUUUCCAUUGCUAUUUCUGUAGAUCUUCUAAACAUAAAAUGGUUCCAAUUAAAAUGUGUAUC